GGAGGCGUGUGUGAGAGGUUGAAACAGACAGUCUUGAAAACUGUUAAACCCGCAAGGGUUUCGAAGGUUCGAAUCCUUCCGCCUCCG
rnacentral:tRNA from 1 species